rnacentral:rRNA from 1 species
CACGGAGUUAGCCGAUCCUUAUUCUUUCGGUACAUUCAACCUCUUACACGUAAAAGGGUUUAUUCCCGAAUAAAAGCAGUUUACAACCCAUAGGGCCGUCUUCCUGCACGCGGCAUGGCUGGUUCAGAGUUGCCUCCAUUGACCAAUAUUCCUUACUGCUGCCUCCCGUAGGAGUCUGGUCCGUGUCUCAGUACCAGUGUGGGGGGUCAUCCUCUCAGAUCCCCUAGACAUCGUCGCCUUGGUGAGCCAUUACCUCACCAACUAGCUAAUGUCACGCAUGCCCAUCUUUAUCCUAUAAAUAUUUGAUCAUUAAACGAUGCCGUUCUUUGAUUUUAUGCGGUGUUAAUCUCUCUUUCGAGAGGCUAUCCCCCUGAUAAAGGUAGGUUGCAUACGCGUUACGCACCCGUGCGCCACUUUCCCAGAGAGCAAGCUCCCUGGUAUCGUUCGACUUGCAUGUAUUAGGCCUGCCGCUAGCGUUCAUCCUGAGCCAGGAUCAAACU